UGGGGAAUCUUGCGCAAUGCGCGAAAGCGUGACGCAGCAACGCCGCGUGGGGGAAGAAGGCCUUCGGGUUGUAAACCCCUUUCAGUUGGGACGAAGCUCUGGCGGUGAAUAGCCGUUUGGAGUGACGGUACCUUCAGAAGAAGCCCCGGCUAACUACGUGCCAGCAGCCGCGGUAAUACGUAGGGGGCAAGCGUUGUCCGGAAUCAUUGGGCGUAAAGAGCGUGUAGGUGGCUCGGUAAGUCCGCUGUGAAAGUCCAGGGCUCAACCCUGGAAUGCCGGUGGAAACUGUCGAGCUAGAGUCCGGAAGAGGCGAGUGGAAUUCCUGGUGUAGCGGUGAAAUGCGCAGAUAUCAGGAGGAACACCAUGGCGAAGGCAGCUCGCUGGGACGGUACUGACACUGAGACGCGAAAGCGUGGGGAGCAAACAGGAUUAGAUACCCUGGUAGUCCACGCUGUAAACGAUGGGCACUAGGUGUGGGGGGUGUCGACUCCCUCCGUGCCGACGCUAACGCAUUAAGUGCCCCGCCUGGGGAGUACGGCCGCAAGGCUAA
rnacentral:rRNA from 1 species